UACUUUGUUAAUUAAUUAUUUACUUUGUUUUGUCUAAUUUACGGCACAAUCCUUUGUGACGAAGAAAACUGGAAGGAAAUAAGUAACCCAGCAAUACGGCUCCAGCUGCUCUCGGUGGUAGGGGUGGUUCGACGAUCCUGAAAGAAAUAGCUAUAAAUGCUCCGAAAAUUUAGGCGCCACUAAUUUUUCGAUAGUUCCACGCCGUACAGGAAAAAAAUUAGAAACCUGCUCCUGUUGGUCUGGAAAUGCAGGGGUAAAACUAUAAUAAAGAGAAAUAGAGAAAGAUAGCGGGAAAGAAAAGGGCGAAUGAUGAUGAUUGAUAAUGGCACGGGAUGAUAACAGGGAAAUAACG